UACAGAGGGGGCAAGCGUUGUUCGGAAUUACUGGGCGUAAAGGGCGCGUAGGCGGCCUGUUAAGUCGAACGUGAAAUCCCCGGGCUCAACCCGGGAACUGCGUCCGAUACUGGCAGGCUUGAAUCCGGGAGAGGGAUGCGGAAUUCCAGGUGUAGCGGUGAAAUGCGUAGAUAUCUGGAGGAACACCGGUGGCGAAGGCGGCAUCCUGGACCGAUACUGACGCUGAGGAGCGAAAGCCAGGGGGAGCAAACGGG
rnacentral:rRNA from 1 species